GAUGAACGCUGGCGGCGUGCUUAACACAUGCAAGUCGAACGGAAAGGCCUCUGCUUGCAGGGGUACUCGAGUGGCGAACGGGUGAGUAACACGGGGGUGAUCUGCCCUGCACUUCGGGAUAAGCCUGGGAAACUGGGUCUAAUACCGGAUAGGACAAUGGUUUGGAUGCUGUUGUGGAAAGUUUUUCGGUGUGGGAUGAGCUCGCGGCCUAUCAGCUUGUUGGUGGGGUAAUGGCCUACCAAGGCGUCGACGGGUAGCCGGCCUGAGAGGGUGUACGGCCACAUUGGGACUGAGAUACGGCCCAGACUCCUACGGGAGGCAGCAGUGGGGAAUAUUGCACAAUGGGCGCAAGCCUGAUGCAGCGACGCCGCGUGGGGGAUGACGGCCUUCGGGUUGUAAACUCCUUUCGCUAGGGACGAAGCGUUUUUGUGACGGUACCUGGAGAAGAAGCACCGGCUAACUACGUG
rnacentral:rRNA from 1 species